CGUCAACCUUUGGUGUUUCAGCUCGUUCUCUGUGUAGGAGUGUCGAAACGCGACGAAAUUUGGCGUGCUAGAUUCGCGACUUCGAGACGAAGAUUCUGAGCCCAAGAUCGCGAUUUUUGGAGCAGGUUCCAGCGUCGACCAUUGGUGUUUCGGCUCGUUCUCCGCGUAGGAGCGUCGGAUCGCGACGAGACUUGGUUCAUUGGAUUCGGGACUUCGAGAGGAAUCCACAGAGCCCUCACUUACAAUUUUUGGUCAAGCUUGGCGUUGGCUUGGCGACCGGACUUGGAGAUCCCCGAUUGAUCCAGCAGAGUUCCUUUUAGGCCGAGGCUUCGUUUGCUGCCAGGAGAUAGCACUUUAGAGCCACAGGUUCCGGCUGCUGCACCGUCCGCGGAUCAGGAUCGAGGCAAGGGCGUCGCG